UACAGAGGUGGCAAGCGUUGUUCGGAAUUACUGGGCGUAAAGGGCGCGUAGGCGGCUCGACAAGUCCCGCGUGAAAGCCCCCGGCUCAACUGGGGAACUGCGCGGGAAACUGUCGGACUUGAGUUCGGGAGAGGGAAGCGGAAUUCCGGGUGUAGCGGUGAAAUGCGUAGAUAUCAGGAGGAAUACCGGUGGCGAAAGCGACUCUCUGGACGGCAACUGACGCUGAGGCACGAAAGCGUGGGGAGCAAACAGG
rnacentral:rRNA from 1 species